GGUGGUGGUGGUGGUGGUGGUAGUGGUGGCCUGGCCGAAGACAUUGUGGGUCUUCAACAAGGUGUUUGUGGUGAAGGCGACUGUGGUGGUGGCUGUGUUAUUGGUGUUGAAGACCUCAGUAGAAUUCUGAAUAGAGUGUCGGCGUGUGGUGUUGUCCCUGUGUGUGGUGUUGAGGGAAACACUAAACCGAACACUGAAACCAGAACUAACCCAAGCUCAACGGAAAAGGAAAGUUGUGAGUCACUUUUGCGAUUUGUGUGUCUUGUGAGUUAUUGGCGUCAUGAGUGCAGGACGUGGUGGCUCUGCUGGGCUGCUCCUGCUGGUCGGGGCAUUGAUGGCAGUCCUCGUAGGAAUCCUGGACGCUAGGAUACUCAGAAUUCAUCCUAAGUGGGUCAAAUCUAAUUGCACCAGAUACCGUACUACUGAUCGUGAG